rnacentral:SRP_RNA from 1 species
GCAGGGUGUGGUGGCACGUGCCUGUAGUCCAGCUACUCGGGAGGCUGAGGUGGGAGGAUUGCUUGAGCCCAGGAGUUCUGGGCUGUAGUGAGCUAUGCCGAUCGGGUACCCACACUAAGUUGGGUGUCAAUAUGGUGACCUCCUGGUAGCGGGGGACCACCAGGUUGCCUAAGAAGGAGUGAAUCAACACAGGUCAGAAAUGGAGCAGGUCAAAACUCCAGUGCUGAUCAGUAGUGUAGCAUAUUUAAACCCAAACUAUAGCCCGGCUCCAGCUGAGCCCAUCCA